GGACGGGUGAGUAAUGCUUAGGAAUCUGCCUAUUAGUGGGGGACAACAUUCCGAAAGGAAUGCUAAUACCGCAUACGCCCUACGGGGGAAAGCAGGGGAUCUUCGGACCUUGCGCUAAUAGAUGAGCCUAAGUCAGAUUAGCUAGUUGGUGGGGUAAAGGCCUACCAAGGCGACGAUCUGUAGCGGGUCUGAGAGGAUGAUCCGCCACACUGGGACUGAGACACGGCCCAGACUCCUACGGGAGGCAGCAGUGGGGAAUAUUGGACAAUGGGCGAAAGCCUGAUCCAGCCAUGCCGCGUGUGUGAAGAAGGCCUUUUGGUUGUAAAGCACUUUAAGCGAGGAGGAGGCUACUUGGAUUAAUACUCUAGGAUAGUGGACGUUACUCGCAGAAUAAGCACCGGCUAACUCUGUGCCAGCAGCCGCGGUAAUACAGAGGGUGCGAGCGUUAAUCGGAUUUACUGGGCGUAAAGCGUGCGUAGGCGGCUUUUUAAGUCGGAUGUGAAAUCCCUGAGCUUAACUUAGGAAUUGCAUUCGAUACUGGGAAGCUAGAGUAUGGGAGAGGAUGGUAGAAUUCCAGGUGUAGCGGUGAAAUGCGUAGAGAUCUGGAGGAAUACCGAUG
rnacentral:rRNA from 1 species